rnacentral:misc_RNA from 1 species
UCCGGCUUAUCACCGGCAGUCCCCUUAGAGUGCCCAACUGAAUGAUGGCAACUAAGGGCGAGGGUUGCGCUCGUUGCGGGACUUAACCCAACAUCUCACGACACGAGCUGACGACAGCCAUGCAGCACCUGUGCACGUUUCACCCGAAGGCAGGCCCAUCCCUUUCAGGCGGACCAUCCGUGCAUGUCAAGACUAGGAUAAGGUUCUUCGCGUAGCCUCGAAUUGAGCAACAUCCUCCACCGCUUGUGUGAGCCCCCGUCAAUUCCUUUGAGUUUUAGCCUUGCGGCCGUACUCCCCAGGCGGGGUGCUUAAUGCGUUAGCUUCGGCACGGAACGGGUUGAAGGCCACCCCACACCUAGUACCCAACGUUUACGGCUGGGACUAC